UGGGGAAUUUUGCACAAUGGGCGCAAGCCUGAUGCAGCGACGCCGCGUGAGGGAUGAAGGCCUUCGGGUUGUAAACCUUUUUCGCUCAUGGUCAAGCCGCAGCUUUGGGUUGUGGUGAGGGUAGUGGGUAAAGAAGCGCCGGCUAACUACGUGCCAGCAGCCGCGGUAAUACGUAGGGCGCGAGCGUUGUCCGGAAUUAUUGGGCGUAAAGGGCUUGUAGGCGGUUGGCCGCGUCUGCCGUGAAAUCCUCUGGCUUAACUGGGGGCGUGCGGUGGGUACGGGUUGACUUGAGUGCGGUAGGGGAGACUGGAAUUCCUGGUGUAGCGGUGGAAUGCGCAGAUAUCAGGAGGAACACCGAUGGCGAAGGCAGGUUACUGGGCCGUUACUGACGCUGAGGAGCGAAAGCAUGGGGAGCGAACAGG
rnacentral:rRNA from 1 species